GCCUUCCGCUGUACUUAAAGGAGGAUUCAUCCGAGGUCUUCAGAACUUGCAAGGAUGAGUUGGAGGCAAUCCAGGAUGGAGCAGUGGCUCUGGUGGCAGUGGUGAAUGAAGAGGAGGUGCCUGCUGGAGUUCCCUUUGAAACUCACCAUGUUUCAAUUGUCCUUGAGGAU